UGCCAGCCGCCGCGGUAAUACGGAGGGGGCAAGCGUUGUUCGGAAUUACUGGGCGUAAAGGGCGUGUAGGCGGUUCGUUAAGUUAGGCGUGAAAGCCCCGGGCUCAACCUGGGAACUGCAUUUGGAACUGGCAGGCUAGAGUACAGUAGAGGGUGGUGGAAUUUCCAGUGUAGCGGUGAAAUGCGUAGAGAUUGGAAGGAACAUCAGUGGCGAAGGCGGCUCACUGGCUCGAUACUGACGCUGAGGUACGAAAGUGUGGGGAGCAAACAGGAUUAGAUA
rnacentral:rRNA from 1 species